CCCCGCCGCCCCGGGACGGAAGAGGGCAAGAGGGGCGGCCACUGCAGGGAGGUGACUCCCGGGCCUUUUGGGUGCCCUGGGGCCUGCCACGACCUUGAGCAGCUGGCUCUCCUUUCUUUCCCUUUCUUUUUCUCUCUUCCCUCCUUGUUCUCUUGUGUCUGAACUUCUCUGCUCCAGGACCCUUGCCCUUCCCACCUUUCCCAGAAGACAUUGUCCCCUGCCCCCUCCUCCUCCCUUGCACCCCACCGGGAUAAGACCUUGGGAAAUCCCAGCUUCUAGUCUAAUGUGACCUUGAUAAUAAAAGGAACCACUUGACAGGCAGGUGAGGAAAGAGGGGGCCCAGGACCCAGAGCCCCCAGGCUCCACCCAGCCCCUCCCUGGCUAACUGCUGGCCAGGCUGGGUCCAGCAUCAGGGUCCUCAGUGUUUCCCUCAGUGCAAUGGGCGUAGGGGUGGCACCCAGCUCCUAGGGCCUGUCGGUCAGUGGGAAGUACUUGAACAGCUCUCAGCACCUAGAAAGUUCUCUGCCAGCGUUUGUUCUUAAUCACUACUGCAUUUGUGACCUGCCCUUGGGCCUGACCCCUCUCUGAGCUGCCCGUGCACCACUGACCGCCCAGUUGCCAGCUGAAGACUGUAUUUUCUCUGAGGUAGAUCAGCUGAAUCACGUAAUAGCCACCUCUGAACUAUAAUCAUCUUCGGGGCAGGAACAUUAUUGCUUAUUUAUCUCGAUUCCAGAUGCCUAGGAUUGUUCUCCUGGUGGCCUCAGGGUAGACACUGCAAGUGCCUACAGACACAGGAGAGAAUGGUGACUUCUGCCCUCCCAGAGCAGGUGCAUCCCAUCUGGCCUUGGGGUGCCUGAAGGUGUACUGAGGAAAGGGGGUCAGUGGUGAGCCCUCGGGUGUGGGUCCUGGAACCAGUUGUGUCCAAAGGUGGCUGGCCUUUUGUUCCCUGGAUUCCUCACAAAGUGGUACACGGCUCUGGAACAGCUCUGCUGUGUGACCUUGGGGUGGUCCUAAUGCCUCUCUGAGCCUCAGUUUUCCAGUUUGUAAAGAGGGGGUCUGGGAGACCACACUGUACACAUGUACAGAGCUUCUUAACCUUGCCUUGUUGACGUUUGAAGUCAGAUAACUGUUGUCGGGGUACGUCCUGUGCCUCUAGGACAAUAGGCAGCGUACUGUACCUCCUAGAGGCCAGUAGUGCCCCUCCCCAGUGUGGGAGCCAAAACCAUCCCCAGAUACUGCCCGCUGUCCCCUGGGAGAUAGAAUUGCCCCCUGUCGAGAACCACUGAUAAAGAACCUUACACAAACUGUUGGCACACAGUAGGUGCUCAGCGGAUGUCAGUCCCCUUCUC
rnacentral:lncRNA from 1 species